rnacentral:lncRNA from 1 species
GAGUGAAAGCUAUACAAUAAGAUCCAAAUAAGUCUUGAUCUAGGAACAAUACAAGUAGACAGACAAUAAGCAUUGCCAUUGUGACAAAAAAAAAACAAAAAAACAAAAAAAAAAAAGCAAAAGCAAACCAUUUUACAUAUCUGAAGACGUGCAAAUAAUUUCCAAUCACAUACCGAAAGAAGUUGAAACAAUCCUAACUUAUGUUUUCUUUUUCUCUCUCUUUAAUUGCUUUUGAAUCAUUAGGUAUGGUUUAGAAAACAUAAGGAGAUGAAGAUAUGUGUCGGUCACUAGCCAUGAACAUUAGGGACGCAACUAAAGCACUGCAUCAGCAUUAAGCACCAUACCAUAGAUAAACAAAGACAUAUGGUGCAUGCAUGCCUUUGUUUCAUCUCCUUACCAAUUUACCUUUAACGUUCUAACUUCUAAGAACUGCAACAUGCUGAUAGUUUGUGCCUGAAAAUUCAAGAUAGAAGAGAUAGUAGGUCGUGUUGCGAUCAAAACACUCAUCAUACACGACAAUGUAUAUAUACUGAUGUUGGGAAUCUACAAUGUAUCUAUAGCUAGGUAUAUGAAUUUAUGAUUAGGGUAAUGUAUGGACUAAUAUUUGCUCAGGUUCCUCAAAUUAAUCCAUGGAAACAGAGUAUUUUAGCUUUCUAUCGGACAACACAUAUAAGUAACUUACGGAAAACAGUGUUCGUGUUAGUGUUCCUAUACAGUAUACUACACUUGAUUCCAUAUUCACCUGUAAGAACUUGGCCCUUGGAGUUUGGCGCAGCCUGGAGAGGACACACGAAGGGACUGCUUACAAAAAAAAUAAAAACAAAAAUCACGUGAAAAAUAAGGAGGAAAGUUAAAAAUAUUACACAAUGGAGGGAGAAGGUAGAGAUCAGAUAUAUACUCUUAUUAUGCUUGUAAUCAAACCAGCCUUGUUCGGUUGUUCCCCACUAGAAUCUUGUUGACAGUGUCAUAUAAGUGUGCUUGGGAUCUGAUUCCUGGUGUCUAAUCAUACUUGGUAGAUUAAUAAACUGAAAUCGAACUCAAUCAAAAUGUGAUUUAAGAGUACUAUAAGAUAAUAUAUCUACUAUUGAAAGAUGAUUUUAUCUGUAAAAUGCCUCAUGAUUC